UCUGAAACUUCGCAACCUCGCAACUUAAAAAAGUGCAGGGCCUUCUGCUCUUAGUCAAUGCUUGGCUGUCUGCUGAAGUACAGUCCAAUCACAAGUCAUAUUUACUGGACAGAGGUAUUGACAGACUGCUCCGCCAAUGACAAACAGGAUACGUGUUCAGGAAGCACGGCUCCCUGGACGGGCUGGCUGUCUCGGUCCAAGCGGUGUAUGGAUGUGGAAAAGAAAUCUGCAACGGGUAGUAGCUCAGGGCGGUUUGUUCAACCGCGGGAUGUCACCCGUGGUGUUGUGUCGGGAGAUGCAGUAACUGAACCAGCGCACCGAAGACAAGGCAGCAUGAUGUGGUCAUCACUCACAGGAGGACGAAAAGAAGAAGACAUAUAUAUCUGUGGACAGCUUCAUCCUGGAGUUCAUUGUUCUUGUCUACAAUCAAUGAACAAUGAUCAUUAACAGAUGGGUUGCCAUUCAUCAGUUCACCCUCAAAGACACCUUUAGAUGUAAAGGCAACUACUUUAGCACUUUAGCAGUUUUUAUUGAAAACUAAACUGACUCAAUCAUCUGAUUCAGCUGUCAAAUGUUUUUAGGUGCAGCAAACCCAAGCUAAAGAACGAUGGCACUGGGGCUAAAAAUGUGCAAUGAAUAAAACUAUUUACAUUUCAACAAAUACAA